UGGGUGCAGCCUGAUCCAGCCAUCCCGCGUGCAGUGAAGACGGCCCUAUGGGUUGUAAACUGCUUUUAUCUGGGGAUAAACCUACUUACGUGUAAGUAGCUGAAGGUACCAGAACAAUAAGCACCGGCUAACUCCGUGCCAGCAGCCGCGGUAAUACGGAGGGUGCGAGCGUUAUCCGGAUUUAUUGGGUUUAAAGGGUCCGUAGGCGGACUGAUAAGUCAGUGGUGAAAUCCGACAGCUUAACUGUCGAACUGCCAUUGAUACUGUUAGUCUUGAGUAAGAUUGAAGUGGCUGGAAUAAAUAUUGUAGCGGUGAAAUGCAUAGAUAUUACUUAGAACACCAAUUGCGAAGGCAGGUCACUAACUCUUAACUGACGCUGAUGGACGAAAGCGUGGGGAGCGAACAGGAUUAAAUACCCUGGUAGUCCACGCCGUAAACGAUGAUUACUCGUUUUUGGGUUUUAUGAUUCAGAGACUAAGCGAAAGUGAUAAGUAAUCCACCUGGGGAGUACGUUCGCAAGAAUGAAACUCAAAGAAAUUUGAGGG
rnacentral:rRNA from 1 species